rnacentral:rRNA from 1 species
AGAGUUGAUUCCUGGGUUCGGAUGAACGGCUGGCGGCCGGCCUUAAUCCAAUCAAGGUUGAACGGGAAACUGGGAGAAAGGCUUGCUUUUUUUGCAGACGAGGUGGCGGACGGGGGAGUUAGUAUUUGGGAAGCUACUUGAUAGAGGGGGGACAACAGUUGGAAACGACUGCUAAUACCGCAUAUAGCCUGAGGGUGAAAGCAGCAAUGCGCUAUCAGAUGCGCCCAAACGGGAUUAGCUAGUAGGUGAGGUAAAGGCUCACCUAGGCGACGAUCUCUAGCUGGUCUGAGAGGAUGAUCAGCCACAUUGGGACUGAGACACGGCCCAGACUCCUACGGGAGGCAGCAGUAGGGAAUAUUGCACAAUGGGGGAAACCCUGAUGCAGCCAUGCCGCGUGUGUGAAGAAGGCCUUCGGGUUGUAAAGCACUUUCGGAGGGGAGGAACAAAUGACGUUACCCUCAGAAGAAGCACCGGCUAACUCCGUGCCAGCAGCCGCGGUAAUACGGAGGGUGCAAGCGUUAAUCGGAAUAACUGGGCGUAAAGGGCAUGCAGGCGGUCGGACAAGUAGGAUGUGAAAUCCUGGGGCUCAACCUCAGAACUGCAUUCUAAACUGUUCGACUAGAGUAUUGCAGGGGGAGACGGAAUUUCAGGUGUAGCGGUGGAAUGCGUAGAUAUCUGAAAGAACACCAAAGGCGAAGGCAGUCUCCUGGGCAAAUACUGACGCUCAUAUGCGAAAGCGUGGGUAGCAAACAGGAUUAGAUACCCUGGUAGUCCACGCCGUAAACGAUGUCAAUUAGGAGCUUGGACUUAAGUCUGGGUUUCGUAGCUAACGCAAUAAAU